CGUGUCGCUCGUUUUUCAUGUGAUGGCGGAUUGUUGUCUUGUUGAGUGGUUGUCACAAGUUUUCCUAUUUUUCCAUGAAAAUUACCGAUGAAUUCAUAAGCGUGGUCCUCUCUGAUGUGGUUGUGAAUGGAUCGGGUUAUUUUCCAGUUUAUUUCAAUUUCUUCCUUGCGAAGACUCUACCCGUCAUCUAUUGAAAAAUAACGAAUCUGCACAUAAAUAACGAUGGCGCAUUGCCAACAAGUUUCAGCCAUUGAAAUCGUUGCAGACAGCAUGUUGCACGUCAUUUUGUUCUGGACUGGAGUCUGGAGGAAGUGAGUUUUCACUGAACACCGUGGAAUUCUCUAAAUUUAUUGAUCAUUGAUCAUUUGCCGACAAGCAACAAGGCAACAUGUGAUUAUUCUGAUCUUGCCAUGAACGGAAGAGAACACUUGGUGCAAGAUCAUAAUUUGAUGGUUAACUUAUGAAGAGAAGGUGAGGAGAAAAUAAUGAUCUUAUUCCUCCAACAACUAUGGCAGAUUUGUUCCCGGUUUACCCUCGCCGCUGUUCGAUAGACUUUAUCAAUUGGUGGGAAAUGACGAGUGGUUGGCCGCGCUGAAUUUCAAGAUCUAUAAAUUUUAUAUAAGUUUAUAAAUUACAAGUGCAUAUCUGGGCUCCCUUCUUCAGUGGCCCCGUUUCCCUAAAUAACCACUAACCAACGCCCGCCGGUGGUCACUCACUCGCUGCGACAACCAGGAGGAAGGGAGAUGUUUGGUCAAACAGGGACUUGCAAGGCGCAUGAUUCGAUGAAAUCUGUUGGAGGGUCAUGAGUCUAAGCCGGAAGCCUACUAUGAUGCAUUGCUCUCUUAAAAACUGUUCCUCGGCCCUCUUCGCUCUUUUUCCGGUUUCUCUUAACCAUGGGCGGGCAAUCUCCCUGGUCGAGUCAGUCGGGCAGUGUCUCCCCCUGCUUGACUGGCAGCAGUUUGAACCGGACGGUCUGUUAAAAUAAGAAUUUAAAUCUAGAACAACGCCUCCUUUGAGCGGCCCGGACAAUCCUGAAACCUUUAGGGUUGCCAUUCAAUCGAGGCUUAAACGAGAAUGACGCGGAGGUGUUGUCCAUUGAAGGGUUUUGGUGACAAGGAGUCAAUGAACGAAACGCUAAACCAAAUGAAAAAAAGAAAAUAUUAAAAAAGCCAACGAUCCUUUACAUAUCCGAGCCGAAUCCUUUCCGUCUACAUUCCGUGUGAAGAGCAAAACCCAAAUUUCAUCACAUUUUACUGCUUAGCAACGAAAACAAAGCGAGUGUCAAAACAUUGUUUUACUUGCGCAGACUUUACUGUGGCAGAAACGCGUUGGUUAUGUAACAGGUUGAAAUUUUUUUUCCCUUUUGUUCAUGCAGCAUCAAACGACACGCGAUAGGUUCUGGCGGUAAUCAACUAUUCAAGAUGGUAGACCUGUCAAUGUAAAAGACAGGAUUUUCUUCUCCGACCGCAGGUGCAAGGAUUAUGUGUUUGAAACUUAGAAAAGUUUGCAGUAGAAUAUUUAAAAAAACCGACUGUCCUUCAAACGGUUCGAAAUGGAAGAUUUAUUCAUUCACCGAAGAAACGAGUCAAAUGACUCAAAUGUCAAAUGUGGUAUUUUUAAAGUGACUAAAAUUUAAGCCAUUAUCAUUUAUGAUUUGAUAUUUAUUUUGAUAUUGGUUUUUGUAGACCCAUCCCCAGCAACGUCAACCUGCAGAAAGAAAAAAGGCCGGUUUCUAUGACCUUGACGCUCGAAGGUCACGGAGAUCAUUACGUAAAACGUGUCAUGCAGUGGUAGAGGUUGGGUGAGAAACGAGAAUGACACGUGUUGCUUCAUUAUCAAAAAGACCCAUCCCCGGCAAAGUCACCUGCAGAAAAAAAGGCCAGUUUGCAUUUCAAUCGAAGGUCAUGGAUAUCAUUACGUAAAAGGUGUCAGGCAUUGGUGUAGAGGUUGGGUGAGAACGGGACGUUUUGCUUCAUUAUCAAAAAGUUGACAGGGAUCAGUCGAGUGAGCAUCUCCGACACGGUAACAACUCCAUAUUUCGUCGUAAUAUCAGUUCGCAAUCAUGGUUAAUUAUGGCAUUGUGUUGCUGUUGGGUGUUGUAUCGUUGAUGUCGACCACGAGAGAAAAUCUUUCAAAAGGAAAGAGAAAAGGCAACAGAAGUCCAUCGAGUGAGCAUCUCCGACCCGGCAACAACUGCAUUCUUCGUCGUAUUACCAGGUCGCAAUCACGGUUAACUAUGCCGUCAUGCUGCUAUUGGUUGUUGUAUCGUCGAUGUCUGGGUCGACCACUGGUGUACCGACGUCUCCUGGAUAAGGCGGAUACCAAACCGCAACGCCACCACCUUAUUACUCAACAACAUACGCAACGACCAGAUACUACACCGAGGUUGCACUGUUGGGUUUACAGUUAAAUCACCAAGGAUCGAGAUUAUUACACCACAACUUGUGCUGCUCCUCGAGCUACACUACCAAAGCGCUAGAGUACUACACCGAGGCACCUACUGAGACUACGCAACUACGUAUGCUGCCCCAACCUACGACACCGAGGCUCCAGCUUAUUACAUUACCAAAGCUGUCGAAUUCUACAUUGGAUCGCCCAAGUACGACAGAAAUCACCAACACGGCAGCCCCGAAGUUUCGAAUAAACUUCGUUUCAAACAGUGUAACGGCAAAGAGUGAAGACAAAUUCGACUGCAAUCGCGUCGAAUUCAAUAGCAAAGAUAACACAUUCGUACGUGUACACCGCGCCGUUAAACUUGACAUUGUCGGUCGGCAAGCCGCACUUGACGAUGGCCGUACCAUCACCUACGACAAGUGCUUUAUUGUCACAGGUGUUAAACGAAAAUCUUUUCCAAUCCCUGAGCGGUGCCCUUAAAGAUGCCCACGAGCACGUAGCGCUGUUCCGCAACAUCGAUGGCGGUAACAUAGGUCGAGUUCUCCGUUCUCCCAAAUAUUUGAGCCAAUCGACAACCGAGAAGGGGAAAGUGGAAAGUGUUAAUGUGUUGCCCAAAGCCAAUGUUGAGGGUGCAAUUUUGGAAGAUUACAAGUUCGCAUUGACCUUAAACAAUGGUCAAAAGAUUUAAACUGACCAUGUCGUCGUUGCAUGUCGGUUGGGACGCAAACACGUCUGUUGCUUUUGGUUUGGAAAUAGAGGAGAUUUUGGUGGUUAUCGAGUCAAUACCGAGCUUGAAGCACGAUCGAAUGUUUGGUUGGUUGGAGAUGUUACGUUCUUUUGUGAUAUCAAAUUGGGUCGCUGUUGUGUGGAACAUUAUCACCAUGCUGUUGUAUUAGGGCGAUUGGCUGGAGAGAACAAUACUGGCAAAGUAUCAUGGAUGAAAAACUGCAGUGCACUGUUACCAAGUGCAUUCUUCGUCGUAUUAUCAGUACGCAAUCGGUUGAUUGUGAUGUCGUGAUGUUACCGUUUGCCGUAUCGUUGAAGGCUGGGUCGAUCACUGGUGUACCGAUGUCUCCUGGGUAUAGCGGAUACCUAAGCACCACGCCGCCGCCUUACUACACAACGACAACAUUCGCAAGAACCGGUUACUACACCGAGGCACACAAUUACUACACCACCAAGGCUCCAGAGUAUUACACCGCAGCUGAUGCUGCCCCGAGUUACAUCAUCAAACGUACUACACCGAGGCUCCAACUUAUUACACCACCAAAGCGGCUGAAUACUACACCGAGCCGCCCAAGUACUACACCAACAAGGCUCCAGAGUAUUACACCACAACUUGUGCUUGCUUCCCCGAGCCGCUACACCGAAUCCCCGAAGUAUUACUCUGCCCUAAGCUACACAACUACGACUGAGGCGACCAAGUACUACGCAGCCCCAACUUCUACACAGCGGCUGCUCCUUCGUACUACGUUGAAUUGGAAUACUACACCUAGGCUUCAGUUUACUACACCACAACCUACGCUACACCUAGAUACUACACCGAGGCCCCUAUGUAACUACCAAGGCACCUGAGUAUUAUAACACUACUUACGCUGCUCCGACCAACUACACCGAAGCUCCGAAGUAUUACUCAAUCCGAGUUACAACACCACUAAGGCACCUGAAUAUUACACCACACCUUCCGCUUCUCCAACUUACUACAGGGACGUUCCUAAAUAUUAUAACUAUGUUCAGAUUUGUCGGUCAUAUCUUAAUAGUUACUAGUCACUGGGAAUUGUUGAUCUUUAAUAGGGAAAUCAAUUUUUUUAAAACCUGGGUGAUCAUUGUGUACGACUUCUCUUGCCACCUAAAAGCCCUAAGACGUUGCGACGAUUUCUUAUUUUUUUGGAUCUUUCCUAUUUCGCAUGUUGGAGGUGACCUAUUGCUCUAGUCGCUCUGUAUUCCGACAUAUUCUAGUGUUUGGACAAACUUCAUUUACAGGGCAAGUAACGAAAGAGACAUGUGGUGUUUACUAAAAAUUUUUAAUGUUACUAGCUCUGUUUUUAACAUUAGUUGGUGUAACAAAUGAGUUGCAGAUAGUGUAUGGUUUAUCACAUAAGUUUAUUUGAAGGGUCUGGAGUUGAUCAGUCUAUUGCCAAUAACUUAUGUAAAACUUCAAAGUUGUAAAAAAUAUACAAAUUUGAACUAAA